GGCCUUCUCGUCAAGUCAGGUUAAGACAUAAUGUUUUCAUCAUUACAUCUUGGGUUCAAAUCCCAAGAGGGCUU